rnacentral:rRNA from 1 species
GGGUGCGAUCAUACCAGCACUAAUGCACCGGAUCCCAUCAGAACUCCGCAGUUAAGCGUGCUUGGGCGAGAGUAGUACUAGGAUGGGUGACCUCCUGGGAAGUCCUUGUGUUGCACCUC